rnacentral:rRNA from 1 species
CCUACGGGACGCAGCAGUGAGGAAUAUUGGUCAAUGGGCGCGAGCCUGAACCAGCCAAGUCGCGUGAGGGAAGACGGUCCUAUGGAUUGUAAACCUCUUUUGUCGGGGAGCAAAAGACGCCACGCGUGGCGUUCCGAGAGUACCCGAAGAAAAAGCAUCGGCUAACUCCGUGCCAGCAGCCGCGGUAAUACGGAGGAUGCGAGCGUUAUCCGGAUUUAUUGGGUUUAAAGGGUGCGCAGGCGGUCUGUUAAGUCAGCGGUCAAAGCCCGGGGCUCAACCCCGGCCCGCCGUUGAAACUGGCAGUC